rnacentral:misc_RNA from 1 species
UCUCCGUUGGUGAACCAGCGGAGGGAUCAUUACAGAGUUUUUAACUCCCAAACCCUUUGUGAACUUACCUUAUUGUUGCCUCGGCGAGCCCCUGGGAUUCGUCCUACGCCCGCCGGUGGCCCCCUACUCUGACUCACUGCGUUGGCAUCUCAGAGAAUACACAAACCAAUUAAAACUUUCAACAACGGAUCUCUUGGCUCUGGCAUCGAUGAAGAACGCAGC